rnacentral:rRNA from 1 species
AGAGUUUGAUCCUGGCUCAGGACGAACGCUGGCGGCGCGCCUAACACAUGCAAGUCGAACGAGCGAGAGAGAGCUUGCUUUCUCGAGCGAGUGGCGAACGGGUGAGUAACGCGUGAGGAACCUGCCUCAAAGAGGGGGACAACAGUUGGAAACGACUGCUAAUACCGCAUAAGCCCACGGCUCGGCAUCGAGCAGAGGGAAAAGGAGCAAUCCGCUUUGAGAUGGCCUCGCGUCCGAUUAGCUAGUUGGUGAGGUAACGGCCCACCAAGGCGACGAUCGGUAGCCGGACUGAGAGGUUGAACGGCCACAUUGGGACUGAGACACGGCCCAGACUCCUACGGGAGGCAGCAGUGGGGAAUAUUGCACAAUGGGGGAAACCCUGAUGCAGCGACGCCGCGUGGAGGAAGAAGGUCUUCGGAUUGUAAACUCCUGUUGUUGAGGAAGAUAAUGACGGUACUCAACAAGGAAGUGACGGCUAACUACGUGCCAGCAGCCGCGGUAAAACGUAGGUCACAAGCGUUGUCCGGAAUUACUGGGUGUAAAGGGAGCGCAGGCGGGAAGACAAGUUGGAAGUGAAAUCCAUGGGCUCAACCCAUGAACUGCUUUCAAAACUGUUUUUCUUGAGUAGUGCAGAGGUAGGCGGAAUUCCCGGUGUAGCGGUGGAAUGCGUAGAUAUCGGGAGGAACACCAGUGGCGAAGGCGGCCUACUGGGCACCAACUGACGCUGAGGCUCGAAAGUGUGGGUAGCAAACAGGAUUAGAUACCCUGGUAGUCCACACCGUAAACGAUGAUUACUAGGUGUUGGAGGAUUGACCCCUUCAGUGCCGCAGUUAACACAAUAAGUAAUCCACCUGGGGAGUACGACCGCAAGGUUGAAACUCAAAGGAAUUGACGGGGGCCCGCACAAGCAGUGGAGUAUGUGGUUUAAUUCGACGCAACGCGAAGAACCUUACCAAGUCUUGACAUCCUGCGACGCACAUAGAAAUAUGUGUUUCCUUCGGGACGCAGAGACAGGUGGUGCAUGGUUGUCGUCAGCUCGUGUCGUGAGAUGUUGGGUUAAGUCC